rnacentral:rRNA from 1 species
UACGUAGGGGGCAAGCGUUGUCCGGAAUUACUGGGCGUAAAGCGUGCGCAGGCGGUUGUGCAAGACAGAUGUGAAAUCCCCGGGCUCAACCUGGGAAUUGCAUUUGUGACUGCACGGCUAGAGUGUGUCAGAGGGGGGUAGAAUUCCACGUGUGAGCAGUGAAAUGCGUAGAUAUGUGGAGGAAUACCGAUGGCGAAGGCAGCCCCCUGGGAUAACACUGACGCCUCAUGCACGAAAGCGUGGGGAGCAAACAGG